rnacentral:rRNA from 1 species
UACGUAGGGGGGCAAGCGUUUGUCCGGAAUUACUGGGCGUAAAGGGCUCGUAGGCGGCCAACUAAGUCAGACGUGAAAUCCCCAGGCUCAACCUGGGAACUGCGUCUGAUACUGGAUGGCUUGAAUCCGGGAGAGGGAUGCAGAAUUCCAGGUGUAGCGGUGAAAUGCGUAGAUAUCUGGAGGAAUACCGGUGGCGAAGGCGGCAUCCUGGACCGGCAUUGACGCUGAGGAGCGAAAGCCAGGGGAGCAAACGGG